rnacentral:lncRNA from 1 species
GGCCUGGCGUGCUCUGUUCCAUGGGGUCACGAAGAGUCGGACAUGACUUAAUGACGAAACAAAAAUAAUAACAUUUAGUUGCAACCUCACGGUCCAGAACGACCUCCACCUCCUGCAUGGCUGUAAAAUGAAGAGGGUUUGGAACUGGAAGCUAGGUUGGACCUUCUAGAACUGACUAGCAGCCUCUCUGGGGUCAGGCAAAAGAUGAAAGUUCCUUUUUGCUGCCCCUGUUUUUCUUGAAACGGGACACAUGCAUUGACAGAGUGACAGGAGCCUCGAAUAGCUUUCUAGGGUAGAGCACUGUGCAUCCGUGCCAGCAAACUCUGAUGUUGCUUCUGGGCUACAGGCAUUCCUUUGAGGAACAACCUGCUUUUUCUCCCACCCACGAGAUUUCUUCUAGUUCUUCUCCAAGGUAUUUCUAUAUGCUACGGGGGCACUGAGGCUACAAACACCCUGAUAUUCAGCUAUGAGGAUCUUCUUUGGUCUGUCUCUUUUUCUCUUAUUAAUGCUGCCAGCUUUGUCCAGAAAAUGCCCAGAAGGUGUGUGCCGACAAAAAUGGUGCUACAGGGAAGAAAGGCACUGGGGAGUGUGCCCUUAUGAUCGGACAAAGAUCUUCUGCUGUUUUUGGAACUAUUGGAAUUAGCCACCUGGGAAAAGCAUCAAGGGCACCCACUGCCCUUAAUGAAUCCUAUAACUUCCUUUUGGCACAAGCUCUUUCUUCAAGGCCAGCUUCAUAAACCUGCGCAUUAGGACUCACCAGGCAGUCAAAUAAAAGCAAAGUGGUUGUGCGCA